CGCACAUUGCGCCCCUUGGUAUUCCGGGGGGCAUGCCCGUUCGAGCGUCAUUUCACCACUCAAACAUCAGUUUGGUAUUGAGCCCCGGGGGUGACCCGGGCUCCAAAGUUGUCGGCCGGACAGUCCGUAUCGCAGCGUCGUGAUUUAUUUUCGCUGACGAGAAGGACAAUCCGCGCCGUGAAAAUCUAUUUCACAGGUUGACCUCGGAUCGGGUAGGGAUACCCGCUGAACUUAA
rnacentral:misc_RNA from 1 species